UGAGGAAUUUUCUGCAAUGGGCGAAAGCCUGACAGAGCAAUACCGCGUGAGGGAUGACUGCCUACGGGUUGUAAACCUCUUUUCUCAAGGAGGAAGAUCUGACGUUACUUGAUGAAUAAGCCACGGCUAAUUCCGUGCCAGCAGCCGCGGUAAUACGGGAGUGGCAAGCGUUAUCCGGAAUUAUUGGGCGUAAAGCGUCCGCAGGCGGCCCUUCAAGUCUGCUGUUAAAAAGUGGAGCUUAACUCCAUCAUGGCAGUGGAAACUGUUGGGCUUGAGUGUGGUAGGGGCAGAGGGAAUUCCCGGUGUAGCGGUGAAAUGCGUAGAUAUCGGGAAGAACACCAGUGGCGAAGGCGCUCUGCUGGGCCAUCACUGACGCUCAUGGACGAAAGCCAGGGGAGCGAAAGGG
rnacentral:rRNA from 1 species